rnacentral:lncRNA from 1 species
UCACUGGAACCGACGGUGAAACCGACGGCGAAACCGAUAGAUCCGCGCAUUGGUUCCCUUCUGGACACUGCCGGGGCUGAUCCCAGUUCCUGAUUAGGUAUUACAACAGAUGCGCUUACAGUACAUACUUUCAACAGAUCCGCGCAUUGGUUCUGUCUUACAUCCAUUGUUGAAAUAUCCACUAAUUGUUUUAGUCUUACAUCCAUUGUUUCAAAUACAUUAACGUCCAACUUUCGCUCCUGGACACCCAGACGGGAUGCAUGAUCUGCAUGGCAUUGAUUUAAUGCUUCAGUAUCUAGACAACAGAAAAGUUUUGGUUGGAUAAUCAAGUCUGUUUUACCCCUGAUACUUUGCAUGGGAACUCAAGCCAGAAAAAGCAAUCCAGUUCCUUUUUACAUUACAAUGGUUUCAUUCAUCAUUAAAGUAUACUCCUAUCAAAUUGGAACCAUUCAUUAAUCACCAAUCAAGUUUAAUAGCAUAGUUAGUGCAAAUAGCUGGGACUGUAUGAUCUAGCAUAUAUGCAUAGGUAUGAAUAACAGGAUGAAAGAACUAUCCCUUCCACAUAGAAGAGCAUUACAAGCAAACAUAAGAAAAUCGGAUGUGCACACAACAGUAAAAAAACAUGUACACACAACUGCAUAGAGCGUACCUGAGAUGCUCUCGCCAGCUCCAAUGUAGAUGAUCUCGCCAGCUCCAAUGUAGGUGCAGUGAAUAUGCAAGCACUACAUACAAUAUAUAAGAGUGAUUGUAUCAUCUUAGCAAACCGGCAACUAUAGUGUUUAUUAAUUGUUUUCCUUCUGAUUUUGCUGUAUUUGAAGAUUUAAUUUGUAGAUGCCGGUUAAGGCACAAACCAGCAUGAUGCAUCAAGUUUUGGAUUGAUAAAUCUGUGCCAUGUUGACCAUAUCUCUCCCAAAACAUGUUUGGCAUUAUUGUUCUUUUUGAAAUAGAAUAGAAAGAUCAAAUGCCUUUAGGGCUGUUCUUAUGAGCUGCUCAAGAGCCCAGAUUACCAUUAUUGGAGGGUCGGGCACUGAUACUAAUGGACACAUAGAGAACCAAUCAGUUUAUAUAUGCAAAUACAUAGAGAAGAAUGUCUUGUACAUGAGUACUGUCCACACACUGUCACCUUCAGUUCUACAAAUGUGUCAAUUAAUCUGAAAGGAACAUAACCUACUCUACGAAGCUAUUGUUUUGCCUAUAUAAAUUAUCAAUGUCUAUUCAAAGUGGCAAAUUUGAUAUUCUGACCUAUGAUCACUAAAGUAGACGAGCAGAUCAUUUUUUUUGCCACAGAACAAUCAACUACUCAAAUGAUGAUACUGGAUGCAGGUAUAUGUUUUUAUGGCAUAAUGGAAAGCAUGUUUUUUGCAACAAGUUGGAUCGCAAACCCGAAUUUAAUUGAAAUAUCUGCAUAUCAGGAAGAAAACAAUAAUAAACUUGGCAAAAAGCAUUUCAUAAAUUUAGUACACAUUUGGGAGUUAAGAUUAUAAAGUCUGUGCUUACAGGUACGUAUGGGGAAUCCACAAAGCAAAGCAGCAGAAAAUAUGACAUCGACGGCUGUACCUCCAGGUAUAUAUUAACCUAAAAAUCUUGCUAUACAUGUCAAGCUAGAUCCCAAUUGUGGUUUCAUGUACAGAAGUGGUUGCAGAUGAGUUGGUUGGGACAUAUGAUGUUGAGAACUACCCAAAUACCCCAAGUAUGCCAGUUGGAUCCACACCGCAACCUAUUGUUCUGCAUAAUGAGAUGGAUGAGACAGUACUUGAUGAUAAUAACCCUAUUAUUCAAGGUAUGAGACUGUGCUGAGAGAGUACCCAUAAUUUUACUGUCUAAAUUUGAUUAACUGUAUCUCAGUUACUUGUAUGAACCAACUUCAGAUCGGGAUUUAACAAGUCACACCGCACAGCCGGUUGUUCCCCAACACACUAAUGGUGAUAUCACAUAUGUUCAGCCUUCCGAUAUGGUAUCAUGUGACAACUAAACAUAAAGAAUAAUCGACACUUUUUGGUUAGCAGUAAACUCAAUAGUUAUGUCCACUAUCGGUUAUUUUUUCAUCAAGCAGACAAACCGGCUAGCUCAUUCAUAUUGAAUGAGGCUUCGUUUGUGCAUCUCAGUUGUAUCUCAAACGAGUCCGCCACAGCCGCAUCACAAAGUGUAAAUGGUAUUACCUGAUUCUACUUUAUUUGUGAACCUUAUCAUGCUUUAUGUUUUGAUCUUGCAUAUGUACAAAAAUCAUGUUUCUCUUCUGUUGCAACAGAGACUCCUGAGAUGUCUCAUAUAGAUGGAAGAAGACAAGUAUACAUUAAUGCAACUGCUCAUGUUUUACCGGCAUCCGACUCAACAUUCGAGAAGAUGACUACACGAUCUACCAGCUAUGUCCACAAUCAAACUAAGAAAGUUAUCUACUCUGAUGAAAAAAAGGAGCAGAUAAACGCCAAGAGGCGAGCUGCUUAUCGGAAGAAAAAAGAUGAGGAAUCAGAGAAACUACAUCAUGAAUAUCAAUCUUCCAUUUCAAUGUUUGGUAUGUUUCUUUGAUUAUUAAUCAGUAUAAGUAACCAUUAAUACAAUGUGCAUUCCUAGGUUCACUUCUCUCACAAAUUGAUGUUUCACUCAGUAUUUGACAAGAGGGACCUAAUAAACGCGCGGAGACGGGCAUCGUAUCGUAAGAGCAAAUCGGACGCUGACGAAAACAAGGAGCCAUUUAUAGCUCCGAUUCGUGGUGGACAUCGAAAGAAAAAUGUGGACGCCCCCAACAAUCAUCUCCAUGAACAUCUCCCUGCCCUUGACUUAGCAGGUACGAGUAUGCUAUAUUACAGCAGUAUAUGACACCUUCAAGGAAACAAGAUGUAUCUAAUAUAUCCGGUUGUUAGCUCCAAGUCAGAAGUAUCUCCAAGUUAAUGUUUUUGCUGUAGCAGUUGCUAUACAUAUCUUCCUAUAUCCCGAUUGUGAAAACAUUUGCUGAAGUGGUUGCAGAUAAGACAGAGGAAUCCCUUGAUGGUGAUAACUACCAAAGGAUGAUAAGUAUGAUAGAUGGAACAACCCCGCAACCGGUUGUUCCCCAACAAACUGAUGUUGAUAUCAUAUAUGUUCAUGGGCCUUCCAAUUUGAUCUCAGGUGAGUAUUAAACAUAAUUAAGAAUCGACGUUGUACGGUUAGCAGUAAACUGACACAUUAUGUCCACUACCGGUUAUUUUUGCAUGAAGCAGUCAACCCGGCAACCUCAUUAGGGGGUAAAGACGCUGCGUUUGUCCCUCUCAGUUGUCUCACACGCGAUUCUGGAGCCGACAUAUCACAAAGUAGUAAUGGUGUUACCGGUUUCGUAUUUAGUUGUACAGUGUUUAAGGAGGUUUUCUUGCAGAUGUUCAUGACCCAUAUUGUAUUUGUGUUGUUUCAGAGGCUCUAGAUGUGAAUCCUAUAGAUGGCAGAAGACACUCGUUAAUGUGUGCAAAUGCUCAAGCUUUACCGGUACCCGAUACAACAUCCGAGCAGAUCACUACAGGAUCUGUCGUUAAUGUGUGCAAACUAACUAAGAAAGUGUUUCAUGUCUGACGAAAAAAAGGAACAGAUAAACGCCAAGAGGCGAGCUGCUUAUCACAAGAAAAAAGAAGAGGAAGCACAGAAACUCUUGCAUGAAUAUCAACCUGCCCUUACAAUGUCUGGUAAGAUUGUUUGAUUUAUAAUCAAUCCAAUGAACAAUUAGAUUCAAUAUGCAUUCCUAGGUUUAGUACUAACAUAUCUUGCUACCACAUUUACUAGAUGACAAGAGGGAGCGGAUAAACGCGCAGAGACGGGCAUCGUAUCGUAAGGGCAAACUGGAUGCUGACGAAAACAAGGAGCCUUUAAAAGCUCCGAUGCAAGGUGGUUAUCGAAAGAAAAAUGUAGAAGCCGCUAACAAGCAUCUCCAUGAUAAUAUGUCUGCCCUUGACAUAUCGGGUACGAUUAUUCUAUAGUUCAGCACUACGGCUAAUGGAGAUACUCCUUUUGUUGCCAACUAUAUGAUUGUUAUCGGAAGAUAAAUGAGUACAUCACCUGAGAUCAUCAUGCAGGUACCCAAAGUGUUCCACGGAUCGCUCUAGGUGAUAUAACUAAUGGGGAACAAACAUCGUCGAUAAACCUUGACGAUAGAAAUAUGAUUAUAAAGUCAACAACUCGAGCUGUGGAUAAUCACCAAGAUGAAAAUCUUCCCGCCCUUAUGAUAUCAGGUUAUGAUGCUUUAUUUUCCAUCUGCAUUUUAUAGUACAUAUUCAUAAUGUUUGCCAUUAAGUAUGGUUAAUAUAUUUUCAUACAAGUCAAACGUUUGAACUUCAAUGUUUUAACGUUCACUCGUUUCAGAUUCAACUAAGCAUUGCAUAUAUACAUUAGAUAAUUCAUUGGUACCUUGUGUACCAAUUACCAAUUAAUUCAGUACUGAUUAUGUUUGUAUCAACAUGUAUAACCAGCCGACCCAACUAGGUCCAUCCACACAUCAUUUACACAAAGUGAUGCGUUAUUGCCUCAUUCCACUACAAUCACUUCUGAUGACAUUCAUGAUUACCACCUAGCUAUGAGGCAGCGUGUUAAGGAACGCAAAUGUAACUUAACUCUAGAUCAAGUGGAGCAAUCAAACGCGAGGAGGCGAGCAACAUAUCGGAAACAAGUGGAUGAGGGAUCGAAAGAUCUUGAAGGAAAAAAUGAUAAGCUGCGAGAAUGGAGGUCAUGCAGCAAAGAGAAGGGGCAGUUGAGUGCAAAGAGAAAGGCAACUUAUGCUUCAAAAAAAACACCCCGUGCAAGGAAUCCCUCGCACUCCCACGUCCAGACCUAGCAAACUCAACAUCUAUAUGUCCAUCAUCCACCUGCCGCGCAAUACCCCUCUCUCUGUCCGCCGAAGAUGAUUCAUCUGAUGAUGACCCUACGAGGGUCAUGCCGAAUCACAUUGUUACUAAUAGUAUGAAAAUGCUAUGGAUACGUUGUUAUGAUCAUUCUCAGCAACCCCCUUCUGACAUGAUAUCAUCUAUUGACACAUUCGCCAUGACGAUAAUGCAGACGACACUGAUGUUUUCCGAGACCGCGUCAUGGGCGAUGAGCCAAUGCCAUCUGACUUGAUGGAUGAGGAGUACUACAUGUUUCUAUACCAAGGUAUGGUCAACUAAGAACUAUGAAGUUGUGGAGCCUUUUUUUAAUUAUCCUUAUUAGGAAAUGCUUUUGUGAACAUCAUGUUUGAACAAAUGCAUGUAGGAUCCGAUAAUGAAACCAUGGAGGAGGACGAGGAAGCGAGCAUGUCGUCUGCUAUACCUAGUGAGGUUGAUCCAUUAGACUUUGUCUACACAAACAUACCAGACACCACUCACAUCCUCAAGCUCGCCGCAAACUGCAAACACUGCAAUGCCAAAAAGUUUGAGUCUGAGACCGACGGGUUUUGCUGUUGUAAUUGUCAGAUCGAACUUACGCAACCGGAACCAAUCCCAGAGCUGAUGAGGCUAUGGUCCAGCAUGGAUGCAGAUUCUAGACAUUUUCGUGAAAACAUACGGUUCUUCAAUGGGCAUUUCGCAUUCACAACCCUUGGCGUCAGCCUUGAUGAGAACUACACAAACAUGAAGUCUGGGGUGUACACAUUCAGGGCACACGGCACCAUCUACCACAAUGUGCAUUCGUUCGGGCCUAGCUCAAGUCCAGAACAUCUGCAGUUGUGCUUCUAUGAUGACGACCCAACCAUAAGUCAUCGUAAGGCAGCCACCAAGCAAUUAGACCAGGAUGUCGUGAAGAAGUUAGUACACAUACUCAAAGAAAACUCGUACUCCCAGCAAUUUAGGAGUUUGGGUGCACACAAGGACAACCUCGACGAUUAUAGGAUAGACCUAAACACGGAUAAGAGGCUUGACCAAAGAAGAUAUAAUAGACCGUUGUCAUCUGAGGUCGCUGCACUUUGGGUUGAGGGCAACGACCUAGCAAAAAGGUUUGAUCGGAGGAUAACACUUUGUGGUAACAACCAUGAAAGGCACAGUAUAAGUGUGACCUCCGGAGCAUAUGACCCAUUGUCUUAUCCCCUAUUCUAUCCAAGGGGGAACUAGGUUGGCAUCCGAAGCUACCUAAACGUAAUGUUCCUUGGGAGGUUGAAUUAAAUCCUCAAUUGGGCCUUGAUGAUGACGAUGAUGCAGGUAUGUCGUAUGCAUCCCAUUUUGUUACAACUAAUAUCUAAUUUCUCGAUUAUAUCCUCAUUUUGAUGGUACUCGAUCACGUGUAGAGGGGAAUAGCAGGUUGUACGUCUCUGUCAGAGACUACUACUGUUACAUGCUGCAGACACGACAUGCCAUUUUCAAUCCCAUACUCUCUGGAGCACGCCUGCUGCAGCAAUGGGCGGUCGACAUGUAUGUCAAGAUUGAGAGUUGUCGGUUGAGGUGGUUCAGGAAGAACCAGACGCAGAUUUGGGCCGACUUGUAUAAAGGUGUUGUUGAUGCGAUCACAUCGGGCGAGACGCGAGCAAGCGCUGUUGGGACAAGAAUAGUGCUCCCUGGAACAUACCCUGGUGGUGACCGCGACAUGAAAAAGAGACAUAUGGAUGCCAUGGCAAUUGUGCAUACAUACGGGAAGCCUAACAUCUUCUUGACCAUGACUUGCAAUCCUAAAUGGGAAGAGAUAUCGAAUGAGUUGCUGCCUGGUCAGACGGCGCAAGACCGACCUGAUAUUGUGGCUCGCGUGUUCUACGGCAAAUAGAGGCUAUGAAAGACAUUUUGUUCAAGAAGCAUAUUCUAGGUGUUGUUGUUGCUUAUGUUUACGUAGUCGAGUUCCAAAAAAGGGGCCUUCCCCAUGCACAUUUUUUGUUGAUCAUGGACUCAGCAUAUAAGCUUAUCAUCCCGGAGCAGUAUGACCGACUCAUUUCCGCUGAGCUCCCAGACAAGCAUAAGUAUCCGGAAUUGUAUGCAAUGGUGGUAAAACAUAUGAUGCACGGACCAUGCGGUGCUCUCAACCCAAAAAAUGUAUGCAUGCAAGAAAACGGAUGCAAGUGCAGAUACCCACGGCCGUUCAAUGAAAACACAUCACAAGGGAAGGACUCCUACCCAAUUUAUCGGCGUAGGGACGAUGGUAGACGUGCUAAGGUUCGAGGAAAGAUGUUGGACAACAGAUGGGUUGUGCCUUAUAAUCCAUACCUUCUGCGGAUGUUCAAUUGCCACAUCAACAUUGAGGUCUGCUCUAGCAUAAAGGCUGUCAAAUAUCUUUACAAGUACAUUUACAAGGGCCAUGAUAAGGCUUCUUUCAGCAUCGACCAGCCCGAUGCCGAUGGUAACAUUGAUGAGAUCAAGAGGCACGUUGACGCAAGGUGGAUUACCCCUCUGGAGGCUAUGUGGAGGAUAUUUGGCUUCGCACUUUGCGCCAAUCACCCACCUGUAUUGCAGUUUCCUCUUCAUCUCCCGAAUAUGCACAGGGUUGCAUUCAAUGCGCAGGCUAAAUUGAAGAAUGUUGUCGCCUCCGAAAAUGCUUCAAAAUCCAUGUUAACUGAGUAUUUCAAGGCUAACCAGGAACAUCCUUGGGCUAGGCAUAUAUUGUACAAGAAUUUUCCCGGAAGCUUCACGUGGCAGCUGAAAAGUAAGUCUUGGAGGCCUCGGGUCGAGCGUUUUCAAAUAGGUCGCAUAGUGUCUGCCAAUCCUGCCGAGGGGGAGCGAUACUACCUGCGUGUGUUGCUAAACCAUGUUGCAGGCAAAACAUCCUUUGACGACUUGCUCACCGUUGACGGUGUGCUAUGUGGGAGAUUUAGAGAGGCUGCUGAACGGUUGGGUCUCAUUGAGGCAGACAACACGCUCGACGACUGUCUUAAUGAGGCUGAGCAGUGGGCGAUGCCAUGUUCUCUUAGGAGGCUCUUCGCAACCAUCUUGGUGCACUGCGAGCCAGGCGACGUGCAUGCUUUAUGGGAUAGGCACCUCGAGUCUAUGUCAGAUGACUAUCGUCGAACACGCACUUUCCCUGACGAGGUGGAGCAGAUGGUGUUGCUUGACAUUAGGGGUAUGUUAUAGUCCAUGGGUAAAGACAUUGUUGAUUUCGCUCUUCCAAGCAUAGAUGAUGCGUUUGACCCAACAGAGGGCGAGGCAAGAGAGGUCAUCGAGGAAUCAACCGUAGAGUUUGACAUGGAUGACACUAAAUUGGCAUCUUCCCUGAACUUGGAGCAGAGGGCCGCAUUCGACAAGAUACUAGGGGCUGUUGAACGCGGUGAUGGUGGUGUAUUCUUUGUUGAUGGCCCUGGAGGUACAGGGAAGACCUUCCUAUACAGGGCGAUGCUUGCCAAGGUGAGGAGCGAGGGCAAGAUUGGUAACGCUACUACGACGUCAGGCGUCGCCGCUUCUAUCAUGCCUGGCGGCAGGACUGCCCACUCGAGGUUCAAGAUCCCAUUAAGCUGCGAUGAUGGAGCCUCGUGCAGCUUCACCAAGCAGAGUGGAACCGCCAAGCUGCUAAGGAUGGCGUCAUUGAUAAUAUGGGACGAGGCCAGCAUGACGAAGUGACAAGCGGUCGAGGCAUUGGACAAUAGCAUGCGCGACAUCAUGGGAAUACGCGCCCGACCCUUUGGAGGAAAGACUGUUGUUUUUGGCGGGGACUUUAGGCAGGUGCUUCCGGUCGUCAGAAGGGGGUCGCGGGGCCAGAUAAUUGAUGCAACCCUGCGAAGUUCUCAUCUAUGGAAGGGUAUGCGGCAGCUUCGGCUCAUCACCAACAUGAGGGCUCAUAAUGACACGUGGUUUGCAGAUUAUUUGCUAAGGGUCGGAAAUGGCACUGAGGAUGUCGACAAUCAAGGCAACAUACUACUCCCUGAAGACAUUUGUCUGCCGUCUUCGGGUGAGGUUGACGACCUGGAGAAGCUUAUUGACCACGUGUUCCCAAGUCUAGAUGACAACAUGUCUGAUUCAAAUUACAUGACAUCUCGAGCAAUCCUUUCCAGUACAAACGACAAUGUCGACAAGAUAAACAUCCGCAUGAUAGAGCGUUUUCAUGGAGAUGAAGUAAUCUACCAUAGCUUUGACAGUGCGGAGGACGACCCGUAUGGCUACUACGCUCAGGAGUUUCUGAAUGGAUUGACUCCUAAUGGUCUUCCUCCGCAUGCACUCAAGCUAAAGUUGAACUGCCCUGUCAUACUUCUAAGGAACAUUGAUCCAGCUAAUGGACUGUGUAACGGCACUAGGCUUGUUGUAAGAGGUUUUGAGAGGAACACCAUCGAUGCAGAAAUCGUGAUUGGACAACACGCUGGUAGGAGGGUCAUCCUUCCUCGAAUACCUCUCUGCCCAUCUGAAAACGACAUGUUUCCGUUCAAGUUUAAGAGAAAGCAAUUUCCAAUAAGGCUUAGCUUUGCUAUGACCAUUAACAAGGCUCAAGGGCAGACCAUCCCGAUUGUUGGUGUCUAUCUACCCAAUCCCGUGUUCUCUCAUGGUCAGCUAUAUGUUGCUUUGUCUCAAGCCACCGCGAAGAGAAACAUAAAGAUACUCAUUCAGAAGGAGAAGCCGAAGGAGAAGGCCAAGAAGCUAAAGGACAAUCCAAAGAAGCGAAAAAGACCAACUGUGUCCUUACUGACCUCGAUGAAGAACAUCGUCUACAAGGAAGUCCUUACAGGCUGAAGUUUGGUCUUAAUAGACUGGCAGGUUUAGUAAUGACAAAGCAUUUACUCUUGCGAUGGUCAAGAUAAACUGUAAUUCGUUUUUUACAUAUAUAUUUCUUUUUUGAGACUUUGAAAUUCGCAGUUAAAGAUAUUCUACAAGCGUACUUUUUCAUGCUUACUAUGUGAUUCAGAUAUAACCUGGAACAUGCAAUGAAUCUUUUGUAUUACGGCAAUUUAACAUAUCUGUUGUUAUUAUUUUGGUAUUUUGAUAGUAUGUUUGAAUGUAAGUUUAUGGACGACCUUAUUAUCCUCUGCAAUCAUCUGCUAGGUCAGAACUAUACAAUUCUGAUUGGUCUGAAUUAUAAGUCCAACACACGCAAGAGGGAAAUUGUGUAUGUUGUGAAGAUAUAUUUUGCAUAUGUACUUCAAAUAGAUAAUAAAAUGAUAGCCUGCAUACUUGCGAAUAAGUUCAAAUGCCCGUGCGACUUUGGAAAAUGUGACAAGUCACAUGUCUCACACAUUAUGUCCACUACCGGUUAUUUUUGCAUGAAGCAGUCAACCCGGCAACCUCAUUAGGGGUAAUGACGCUGCGUUUGUCCCUCUCAGUUGUCUCACAAAGUAGUAAUGGUGUUACCGGUUUCGUAUUUAGUUGUACAAUGUUUAAGGAGGUUUUCUUGCAGAUGUUCAUGGCCCAUAUUGUAUUUGUGUUGUUCCAGUGUCUGAUCGCUGAAGUGUACAAUAUUUGGGAAAAAAUUAGAAUAGUUGGUACUUUUACUUAUCCAAACUAAUUACUUAAUAGUUCAGUUCAGGUUACAUAUAAUUUUUUUGCAUUGGUUCAUUUACCCUCAUGAAUUUACUGCGCAUCUGAAAUAGUUCAGACCUAACAAAUAGUUCAGACCCCGUGUUCAUGGCGCCUCCGCACAACCGAUCUGCACCCACAAAGCUGCUGCAUGUAGCAAGGCUGCAGGUAAUCACUUUGGUGAGUGUAAUAAAGUAAGAUGGCUGCUCACUUGCUUCUUUUGCCGUGUACUCGCUUAUUUUUUUAUAACUGUGUGAUCUAAGGGUCGGAUCGUGGUUCUUCUAACUGAUUAAGGUAGCUGCUUGUUUGCUUUUUUAUGCUCGCUCAGUUGCCUUUUUUUUAUCUAAGGAUGCAAGUUUUGUGUGUACCAAGUUGUGAAUUAAGAGGACUGAGUUCUAUCUAAGGAGAACCCGAUAGUCCUAUUUAAAGUCAUUUGUUAUUACCUUGAUCCUAUCAUAUGACGUUUGGUAUUUUAUGGUCAUGGAAUGAGAGAUUGCAUUCCUUGUACAGGAGAUCAUUCCAGCGUUGGAUUGGACUAUUGCUGCCUUUUAAUUUUAUUUUUAGGCAAAUGUCCACCUGUAAUGUUAGAGCAAUUAUUUUGGUGCUAAACUAAUCCCAAAUAAGUGCCACCAAUGUGUGAAAAUAAAAUGUGUGAUUAUGAUCUUUUAAUUAUAUUCUGAAUAUGAUUAUUAUGCAAUUUCUAAGUUGUUGACAUUCUAGCCUAUCACAUGUAGAUUGGAAGACUUCUCUUUUUGAUGGACUCUGGAUCUAAAGAAGCAUAUAAGCAUGUAGAGAGGAACAUGUUGUCCACUUUGCUGUACAAAUGUACUACACGAUUUUACACAUGUGUUUGAUUAGAUGAUAUUUGAUGAUUUGAGCAUUGUACUGGUGGGAUUUCCACAACAAUACGUAUGAUCUAAACAUUGACUGAAAAUAUUUAUCAGAGUAUUCGUUUCAAACAAUUAAUUUUGCAAAAUAUUGCACUUAUCAUCCCAAAUGAUGGUUGUUCAUUACAAAUCUCAUUCCAUUUUUUUGUUGUCCCUAUUUGAAAAAAUUUGUAGACGAAGAUGGAAUUUAGAAAAUGGAUUGCAUUAUCAAACGUGCAUUGCACGUGCACGCUUACUAUUUUGUAAAAGGCAAGAGAAAUAACUUUCAUAUUUUAGCAAUAAAUACAAUAUAAUUUAUUGCACAAACUGAUCCAUCUCGAUACUCACGAGUGCGAAGUAGCAUGCAGGUUAUAGUUUAAUGGCAUGUUUAAAACAUAACCUCAAAUUUUAAAAUAGCAAAUAACUUAAUUUUAAUAAAUGCAGACUUAAUAAUAUAUAUCCAAAAUAAAUGAAGCCAAAAUACACAUAUAAUAUCCGAAAGAAAAUGAUAUAUUAUCGGCAUACUUAGUAAUCUGUGAUCUUGAUCAACAGAGUUUAUUCAUUUCCCGAUUUUGUAAUUAUUGUUUCCUUAUGUAAUAGAUAUGUAAUCCGGCGUCUAUUUAUUAACCAGGUGCAGAAAGGAACAAAAAUAAAUGUUUUCCCGUUUAUUAGCAAUGUUUUGUAAUGGAAAAAUGCACGGAUGGAAUGAUAAGGGGCACUUUCCAACCUGGUGCCGGACAAUUCCCCUCUGACUGUCAUAUAUAUAUUGUCCGGCUGUUUGACCACUAUAGUCCAAUUUCCCCUCGCUCGCUCAUCCUCGUGCAAAGAUUACUUUCUGCCUGCGGUAAUGGCUGCAAUGCCCAUUUUUGAUAGAGUGGACGACGUAGUCGAGUACAUGUACAACUACGUCAUGGUUUCCUCAGACGAGGAGGAAUUAGAGUUUGUUCUGGCAGCCCUAAACUCCAUCUAUACUAUAUAUGCAAUUGUUAGCUGCAGAUCACUACCAUUAUAGUUUGCAUUGUCGGCUUCUUUUUUUAAACCCGAGUAAAUAUCUGUUAUUUCACCUAAUCCAUGGCGAUUAGUUGGUCACGUUCAUAAGUUAUUGCAUGCAUGUACUGGUUAGGAUCAUGCUAUCCUUCUAUGUCCAAAAGGUUCUUAGGAUCUAACGUAGUGGCUGCAAAAAAAUGAAUAUGUACCAUUAUUAUCCUUUUACAUUACGCCAUGAUAGUACCAUCCGCAGCACGGGCUUUUAAACUACAAAUUUUCUUUGGACGGUAGUAUAAUCUAACGGGUCCUGGUGCAUGAUACAUGUACCAUCUAUAGAAUUUUUCUUACAGAAAUACAUUGCAACCUAACAUGUCAUAAUAGAUUUUGUUAACUUUCCUUACUGUAAUACUACAGAAAGUCAACCCGACCUUUCAAUAGUACUUCUCUCCUCAAAUGACAGUACAACUCUAAUUAUAAGAUACAUACAUUUCAGACCUUACUAAAUUAUUGAAAAAAUGUACUGUUGUUUGCCCACACAUUUAAGUACUACAUGUUUUACAACAAUACAUUGCAAUCUACAGAAUUUUUCUUACUGUAAUACUACAGAAAGUCAACCUGAACUUUCAAUAGUACUUCUCUCCUCAAAUGACAGUACAACUCUAAUUAUAAGAUACAUACAUUUCAAACCUUACUAAAGGUUUGAAAAAAUGUACUGUUGUUUGCCCACACAUUUAAGUACUACAUGUUUUUGAUACCCCUUAUUUUUCUAACAGAUUUGCUAUCAUGCUGGUUUGUUUGCAGCACAAUAUGGAUAAGGAGCCCUCGUCCAUUCUUGAUCGAGUUAAGUCUACGGACUAUCCAAGACACCAUGCGAGGUGAUACAUGGGUCAAUCCGAGCUGCUUCGAUCUUGGAUUUCGUAAGCUUAUUAGCGACGCGAUACAGAGGAACGCGGGAACAGACUUUGUUGGCUCAACGCAUAUGUUUGAUUUGCAAUUCAUUCGCCUAGCACGGGUGCUCAGUCAGGCUGGCGUAGGCCAAGCUGAACGCACCAACUUGUUGAUCAACCAUGUCAUUGAACGGCCUUUGCCGAAAUACAAUGUGCUCAUGACCCCGUCCAUUGUAAGGAUUUUCAUUCUUAAAAAUUGGUCUGUAUACUAUUUUUUCGCCAUUAACUUUAUAUACCUAUUGCAGUACCUAUUGCCGUUGUAUUUGGUGGAUUCCUCCUAUGGCCUCCUUGCAGUUAAUAUUGAAAAUAGGAGGACUCUCAUAAUUGAUCAUUCCAAUGAGUCAUUCCUAGGCUCAGAGGACUUUCAUGACAAGGAAAUUAAGAAGGAAGCCAUGAUAGUUUUGCAAGAAUUUGGCAGUGUAUUGCAAUAGGGGAGGCCUGGGUUGAAUCCCCAACUCGUGGAUUGGCCACAAGAUCAUACCUAUAUUACAGCUCAGCGGUAAUAGUUUAAAUUGUUUAUGCAUAUUAUAGCCACACUGAUAUAGGUUCUAACAUAUUGAUUUUUUUGGUCACAGCCUGGACUCUGGAUUGAAAGUCCUACAGGAGAUGGCUCACCAAGAUGAUACUCUCGGGCAUAACAUGUCCAGGACUUCAGUAUGUGCAUAUAUAACAAGUUUCUGUCUUACAUAGCUUUGUUAAUUAUAAAUUUAUGGGCUUCCUAUCACGUAGGUCUGUUGUGCAUAUCAUUUUUCAGUUAUUUAUUAAAUUGUUGUUUAUGUUUUCUAGGAUUCACUACAGCUCAAAAAGCACCUGCUGGUCCAGAUGCUGAUGAUCAAAGGCAAUGAAGCAGCUAUAAACAUCCCAGCUGAAAUUACAGCAUGCUUGAGGUUUUUGGAGGAAUGACUAUGGACUAAUGCUAAAUCGAAUGUCGCAAAUAUAAUAAGCUAAUAGAACCUUGUCAGGGAUCAAAUUGAGAUUUAUCCUUUUGGCAGUAUGAAUAAUGGAUUUGAUUAUAUAUAUGUAGAGAAUAAACUGUUUGAUGGCACCCUCUAGCUUCGUAUUCGUUUAAACGUUGUCUGCUUGUUUUGGUUCUAUCUAAAUAUUUUGGCUUCUAUGUAUAUUUUGUACUAUAAUAUUCGUGCGGUCAGGAGCAGGUUUGUUGCUCCAGGUGAACCAGAGGCAUUUUGUAAAGGACCAUUGCAGGUUCAGCCGGCAAAUGAGGUUUUCAGUCAUGCCUCACAUCAUAUACUAACUCGUAUCGUGUAACUCCAUCCAUACACACACUGCUAUACGAUACGAGGUUUACUUUGUCGGCAAUCGUCACAUGCCAGCUAUGGAAUAGCCAAAAUAAAAACAUGUUGCAAUUGUGCAUCUCUAUCCUAAUCCCGACGGAUGCCUCGGGACACUUAUCCGCAUCACUGGAACCCCCAGAAAAGUGUUGCUUUAGCCUUCUCCUAGGAUCAUAAUGUACACUGGAGUAAAUCUUUCCUCUCUAAAUCUGGCCAAAACCCAUACUUCCAGGCUGGAUCAUCUGAUAUAGCUCUUCUCCUAUAGGAUCAUUUGGUAGAUCCAUGAGAGCAGGUACACCUGGCUACUGUCAAAGAAAAAGAGAGAAGAGCCAAAUCACCAGAGCAGCCAUAUCAAGCAUGGGGAAGGAGAGAAGCAGUGGUGGGGCUGCUGCCUUGUGGGUGGAGAAGCAGAUCUGGGAAGAAACAGAUGCAGAUGAGAAGGAGCAGGCAAGCACAUCUAGCUACACUGAUCUGCUGGAAGAGGGUUGCGCCAGAGGAGGAUGGGGAGGAGCUGCAGCCAGAGAGGAGGGGGAGGAACUGUGGCCGGAGGGAGGAGGCUGGCGGCUGCCGCAGAUCUGAGGAGGAAGCCUGUGUCAAUGGUCCAGAGAAGAGACAUGAGAGACCUCUCGCGUGGAUUCUCUCUCUCUCUUUCCCCUUCUCAUAACUGGUCGCACCUGAACCAAUGUUUCCCGCGCUUGUGUUCCCGCCCAGGUCAGCUUUCUCGCGUGCAAUCUAUAUUUCCCUGCUUGACAGGCUAAGGCGUCUGAUUGGUCUGAGGCGUGCAAGGCGGCGCUAAGGCGGACGCUUCAGACGCCUUACAGCCUAAGGCGGACGCCUUACGCAACUGUGUUAGGCAAGGCCUACGCCUUGAGCCUGGAGGGCGCCCUGACGCCUAGGCGUCGCCUGAACGACGCCUUACGGACGCCUUAAAAACAUAGGUGUAGUGAUUAAUCAUCCAUUUCAUUGAAAGUUCAGGUGGUCUUGGGGAUCUCUAUGUGGCAGAAGAUAGAGAUUUGGUGCCUUUUUGUUGCAAAUAUUUCUAGCUUUCUAGGUAGGCCAAGAUUUCUCAACAUUCUGCAAUAUUCAGUUGUUGUAUGUUGUCUUAGGCUCACACCAAAUGCUGAAUUAUAGCAGUGAAUGUAAGUUGUAUUCCAUGUAGAGUACGUAGCAGAUUUAUAGCUUACUAUACUUCUAUAAAUCCUACAACUCCCGUAUUAACGCACGAACCAUAAAGUCAUGAAUUAUAAUUGGCAAAAAGAACUAUAUACAACAACUGAGAAACUGGAAUUAGUAUUGGUUACCUUUGGCAUUGGAAAACCAUGGAGAAACUGGAAUUGAAAUCAUUCAUCGAACUUGUGUGGUCUCUGAGAUAUUACAACUGCAAAUAGUAUAUUGAGACUGUACAUUACUACGUAAUUAUGGAAUUAAGUAUUACUACAAUCUGUUAAAUCAUACAAAAUUAGCUAAGCAGGAAAAUGAUUAGUGUGCAUGCCGUGAAUUUAACUUUGUUGUAGCUAAACUUGGCAUGCAAGCAAUGAAAAGUUCUUUAUUUAAUUAAUACAGUAAUUUAAUUCUUCUUAGUAAGUUAUGAUUUUUUUACAUCUUUCCUAAUUUAUUAACAGGUCUGCAUUUGAUGGAAAACAAUGGUAUAUAUGGUAACAAUGGUAUAUAUGGUAGAAUUAUAUUCAGCCAUGAUCUGCUACCCAGUUAUUCUCCGCAUGGGCUACCUAUAUAUGUUAUUCUCCUCUGCCAUCCCUCCUCCCUCUCCUUGCUCUUCCUUCGGCCAUCACAACAGCAGUCCUGGAGGAAAAUUUCCCAAGGAGUACCUUGUGUAAGCAAGGAGCAUCAAGAAGGCGAGUUGCUCUAGGCACGAACAAUUCUGGAUCUUUAUCUUCUCUAAAAGUGUAAUAGUUGUUAUAUUAGGAUCAUGUUUGGUUGAUGUAUAGUAUCAAAAGUAUGUUUUAUCUUGCAUUUUAUGUAUGUGGUGCUAAAAUUUAGUGAACAGUCAAAAGUUGAACAUCAAGUUAAGCAAACAGAACAAUUUACCAGAGCAAUCUAUGCAUUUGAGGACCUCAUGGUUUUAUCCAUGCCUGUCUUGUAAGUCCAUCUUAGUGAUUCCAUCAAGGAGCUCUCAGCAAGAAUAUCUAGGCUUGGGAAAGAUCUGUCAUGAGAAACGUAAAACAUUUAAGGUAUGUGCAUAACUACAGGUAAUAGAUGGUAACACCUAAAAAGUCUUCCUUUUGAAAUCUUUAAAAAUAUACACAAGAUGUUCUAAAAUAAAAAAAUAUUGUGAAGAUUUACAAUCAAAGACUGUUUUGUCUAUAACAAACUCAUAUUCCCAAGAUAUUCUUCAUGGUGAUGCACAUGGGACAUAGGGAACAACAAACUCAUAUUCCCUAGAAACUGUCACACGCUUUGCCGCGCCGUUCUUCAUUCGCUGGGUCAAUUUUUUGGGUGGUCAUAGCAUGAUUGAUCAUUGGACUACAUACUUGAGUCAUGAUGGGCACUUUGCCGCACAACAAAAUUGGCUUUGUUGAUCAAUUUGACAAACACUUGGCCGAUGUGAAUGCUGACAUAACAAAAUUCUAUUUCAGUGGGUAAAUGAGUUAUUUUAAGUAACACAUUGCACAACACCUACAUUAGGGCAAUGUAAGAAAAGGACUAAAAAACAAAUAACGUCUGCUUUAGACAGUGACAACUGGAAGCACACAGAUUGUGCUGCUUUUACUUACUUUGAUUGCUUGGUUGUGUGUCUUGUUCUCCUUACUUUGCACUGCCAAGAAGCAGCCUGUCCAAUAAGCAUAUUCUCCAAGUUGUCUCCAAGUUCACGAACGAAAGUGCAUGAAACCACAAAAUACAUCAACAACAUGAAGAAAUUAGUUUAAGCUCAACUCCAACAAAUAUAGUUUUCAUCUUCUAGCUGACCAUAUAAUAGUACAAUAUAUCACAACAAUAAGAAGCAAAAGUGACUUUAUUAAACAUGUUGAAACUACCUUUAGGUUAUCAUGGUUAAAUACCAAGAUCCCAGUUCAGCCCAGUGUGUGUAUAGUUAGCACAAAUUCAAGAGGCGGUAGUAAGACACAACAUUGUUUCCAGAAAUUACAAGAAAGAUCGAACAGUGACUAUUUCAUGAUUAAAAUGACAGCUUCAUAACCAGAUUAGAGUAACCAACAUAAGCCGCCACAAUGCAAGUAGAACGCCCGUGCGAAGAAACCAGAAUAGAAUUAGAGUAACCAACAUUGUUUCCAGAAAUUACAAGAAAGAUCGAACAGGAACUCUAAUCAGGAACCAAUAACCAUUCGAAGCAGACCACUUACUAAAAUAUAUAAAUUCUCAAAUGAGCUCAAUGAGCAUCGAUUGCCUCAAAAAGAAAGGCUUAAGUUUUCAUAUUUUUAUUCAGUUUUGUUUAGGUUGGUUAGUUCAAAAACAGUGAUGAGUUUUUGUGUGGAUGAUGUUUGUGCCAUUUAGAAAAAAGGCUCUUAAGUUAAAAAAAAUUCUUCAUGUCUUGCUUCUGCACUGUGUCAGCAUAUACAUAUAUUGUCCAUAUAAAUAACAUACAACAAUAAUGGGUCUCUAUCCACCAGUGGACACUUGCAGUGUCACAGUCUACAAGAAUCAGGCGCGGCGGGGAGGGGAAUGAGAGAGGAGCGGGUGGGAUUCACCAUGGCGUGGAGGGGAGGUUCCUGGGAGAGAUGGCAGUGGCGACACUGUUGCAGGGAAAUGAGAUGCGUCGGCAAUCGGUGGCUGGCUGGCUGUGUGGGAAGAGUAGGAGGCGGCUGUGAGGCGAGUGAGAGAGGAGUGAAUGUUUUUUUCUCCGUCAAGAAAAGAAGAAAAGAGCCACUCUAUGUGGUGACAUCAAUGUCACAUGGUCUAUCAAGUCGUCUUUAGGCUAUUAGGCUUUUACUCUGCCACAAUUGAAUAUCCACUACAAUCAGGUUAUGCUUUGGUAUGGUGGGAACAAUAUUAAAAGGUAUACACCCGCUUGGGUGUAAUUUAUUUUAGCAAAUGUAUAGCAAGAUGCCAUUUGCAUCCCAAAGAGGUUAGUGAUACAAGGCUCCGAUGCAUGACCAUUAUACUAGAAAAAGAAAUAAGGGAUGAUGAUUGUAAUUAUGCACCUUUGGAAUAAAAUUAUCAUUUACCUCGCAAAAGAAGAAAAGAAAUGAUGAAGGUGUAGUGUGUGACUUUGCGACACUUGAUCGCUCUAAGUCAAUGGUCACUAGGACUGAAUUAUAAUCCAAGAAGCUAAUCAGAAGGAAGGAAGACAUGCUCGCAGCAGCAUCACAUAAGUAGGCGAGUGGGAUGGAACCUGAGAGUCAUAGUGUCAAUCCUAUGGUGGCCACCACACUCGGAGAGGGUGGCGGCACUGCGGUGAGUAGUGGGUCGCAUUGCCUUGGCUGCACCCUCACAUAACGGUGUGCACUCCUUGGCACUGGGAAUCGGUCUAGGGUGACCAGCCAUGACGAUGAAGGCGUAUCCCUCCUCGCAGUGCCACACCACUCUGCCCAACGUUGUCCAACCCACAUAAGAAUGGGUCAGCUACAUGGCUGGCACCAACAAACAGUUGCGGUCCCUUCUGCACCUCCCGGGUGGAUCCACCUACCCAGGAUGCCAGACCAGCGGGCACACUGGCUCCUUGCCGAGAUGGCGGCACGAGAAGUUUUCAGGGGUUGAAGGAGGUGUGCCACGUCAUGGUAGGGAGAGAAUGGGGCUGGCAAUGCCAUGGAUGAGGGGGGGGGCGAUGGAGAGAGGAGCGGAUGGGCUACACCAUUGGGUGGAGGGGUGGUUCCUGGGAGAGAUGGCAUCAACGAUGUUGUGGCGGGGAGAUGAGAUGCGGCGAUAACCGAUGGUUAGCUAGUUUUGCGGGAAUAGUAGGAGGCGGCUAUGCGGUGAGUGAGCAGAGGAAUGACUACUUUUUUCUCCAUCAAGAAAAGAAGAAAGGAGCAGCUUCUAUGCGGUGACAUCAAUGUCACAUAGUCUAGCAAGUUAUUUUAAGAAAAACACCAACCAAAUGAUCUAGAAGUAGCCUACAAUAUAAAGCUCACUAAAAUCAGGAUGUGACUUACAUUGUACCACGGGAACGAAGCUAGAAAACAACAUUUCUCACAUUGUACGUAAAUAUCUUAAACACAUCAAGUAGAUCUUAGUUUAUAAAAGAUAAUUAGUUGGAUCACUGCUCUGUGUGUACACAUCGUUCUAUUAAGGUGUUUUUAUCAACUUACAUUACAAGUAAAGUGGAUUUUCAAUUACUUUUACGGGCUAUCAUUUCUAUCAGUCAUGGCCCGUAGCAACGCACGGGCAUACAUCAUAGCACUGUCUGCUAUUUAGUUUAUUAUAUUUCCAUAAAGUGCAGCUGGAAUAAAUGGGUGUCCUAAAAACACUAAGAAAUCAAAAUUACUAAGUAAAAAAAUGUGCCAUAACUUGUGCACAAGCCCAAGCCCAGCUAUCAGGGCAUAACCAGGAACCAUAUAAUUAACCAUAAGCCAUGUAAAUAACAAUAGUAAGAACAGAAUACCGAUAAACUGAAACCAUGAUUACAGGCAGUGAGGAAAUCAAACAAACUUCACCUUCUAAUUAUCCAUGGCAUAGGCAUAUCCAUUAGCUAGGUUUUGAUACUAAUAAUGCAUUACAGUAGAAUCAGCCUAUAUUUUCAUUUAUUUUACAUUACAUAUGCAAGAACCUAAACAACCACAUGCAUAGCACACUGCGUCUACCUAGCUAAUUGGUCAUUUAUUUAGCAGAAAAGCACGUCGUUUAACUAGCUAGCUAACAAAUAACAAUCACUGGAAGAUUAGCAUAGUAGCAGGUGAGUGAGGAGAGGGAGAGGGACGUUCUACCUGCUGGAGCAAUGCGUCGUUGAUCGCUCGCCUUGGAAGAAGAGGAGCAGAGGGCUUGGUGGCUAUGUGCACCCAUCCUCCUCAUGCCAGGGGCUGCAAAGUGCCCUCCUGCCGACAUCGCCGUCUCGUCCGCGCCACUUGGAGAUCUGCAGCAAAGGAAAUCUGAACCAUAUUACAUAUAGAUUUAGUCUGAGAGCAGAGGCGGCUUUAUACAUUAGCAUGCCAUGGGCAGGUGUAAACAACCAUAGAGCAGAAAUAUUGCCAUGAGAGCAGUAAUAAGCCAAAUCACUUGAAACAAACGAACUUAAAGACCAAUGGUAAUAACAGAAUCUAUUCAUUGCUUGAACCAUAAAAUGUUGCUGCUUAUUCAUUCACUGAAGAUACUUGAAUCAUGUGCAUACAUAGAAAUUGAACCAAAACUGGUGAUGUGUUUUCAUCACUGGUGAUUAGUUAGUAGGCUAAUUGAAUUGAGUGCAACAACUAAUUACCAAAAAAGAGGCAUGCUACGGUAAUUAUUACCAUUGUCGUCAUGGAGGGGCCAUCUGUCUCACCUGCCGUGAAAGUGGUGGGGGUUCCGGAAGACGGCGGAGUGGUAGGCGAUGUAGACCACAGGCUGCAUCACUGUGGCCGUGUCUUGGCCGUCGGGGAGCAGUCUUUGCCUUGGCCCAGCCUGUGAGGCCGGGUCACGGCGCCUCGAUAGAGCAGCGAGGAGAAGAUCAGUUCAGGAAUCAUCAAAAAGAAAAGUAGAGGAGGAAAGGGGUCGGAUCUGCGUACCGGAGCUGCUGGCGUUGUAGAUCCAGGCACCGCGCUCCGCAUCCACCGUCAAACUCGCCGGAGACUAGCACCGCCGCGGAUCCGACCGGAGGGCGACGGGAUCCAGCACCCGCGUCUGGGCGAUGAAGCUCCAUGCGUGCGUCGACAGCAGUCGCACGCGUCUCGCCGGAGCAUGGUGCGGUGGUCGCGGCUAGAUGGCUUGGUGGUUGCAGGCUCGUGGACGCGCGCCGCGAUGCGGCGGGGGAAGGUCAGAGGGCGAGAGGUGAAGCCGGAGACUGGUGCGGUGGUUGCGGGCUCGGUGACGCGCGCUGCUAUGCGGCGGGGGGAGGUGGGAGGGCGAGAGGUGGCGUCGGAGACUGGN